GACGAACGCUGGUGGCGUGCUUAACACAUGCAAGUCGAACGGAAAGGCCCUGCUUUUGUGGGGUGCUCGAAUGGCGAAAGGGUGAGUAACAAGUGAGUAACCUGCCCUUGACUUUGGGAUAACUUCAGGAAACUGGGGCUAAUAACGGAUAGGAGCUCCUGCUGCAUGGUGGGGGUUGGAAAGUUUCGGCGGUUGGGGAUGGACUCGCGGCUUAUCAGCUUGUUGGUGGGGUAGUGGCUUACCAAGGCUUGGACGGGUAGCCGGCCUGAGAGGGUGACCGGCCCCAUUGGGACUGAGAUACGGCCCAGACUCCUACGGGAGGCAGCAGUGGGGAAUAUUGCACAAUGGGCGGAAGCCGGAUGCAGCGACGCCGCGUGCGGGAUGACGGCCUUCGGGUUGUAAACCGCUUUCGCCUGUGACGAAGCGUGAGUGACGGUAAUGGGUAAAGAAGCACCGGCUAACUACGUG
rnacentral:rRNA from 1 species